AUUGAACGCUGGCGGCAUGCUUUACACAUGCAAGUCGAACGGUAACAGGGUGCUUGCACCGCUGACGAGUGGCGAACGGGUGAGUAAUGCGUCGGAACGUGCCGAGUAGUGGGGGAUAACGCAGCGAAAGUUGUGCUAAUACCGCAUACGUACUGAGGUAGAAAGUGGGGGACCUUCGGGCCUCACGCUAUUCGAGCGGCCGACGUCUGAUUAGCUAGUAGGUGAGGUAAAGGCUCACCUAGGCGACGAUCAGUAGCGGGUCUGAGAGGAUGAUCCGCCACACUGGGACUGAGACACGGCCCAGACUCCUACGGGAGGCAGCAGUGGGGAAUUUUGGACAGUGGGCGAAAGCCUGAUCCAGCCAUGCCGCGUGUCUGAAGAAGGCCUUCGGGUUGUAAAGGACUUUUGUCGGGGAGGAAAUCCCCAGCGUUAAUACCGCUGGGGGAUGACAGUACCUGAAGAAUAAGCACCGGCUAACUACGUGCCAGCAGCCGCGGUAAUAC
rnacentral:rRNA from 1 species